UAAGGAAUAUUGGUCAAUGGAGGCAACUCUGAACCAGCCAUGCCGCGUGGAGGAUGAAGGUCCUCUGGAUUGUAAACUUCUUUUAUAUGGGACGAAAAAAGGCUUUUCUAAGUCGUCUGACGGUACCAUAUGAAUAAGCACCGGCUAACUCCGUGCCAGCAGCCGCGGUAAUACGGAGGGUGCAAGCGUUAUCCGGAUUCACUGGGUUUAAAGGGUGCGUAGGUGGGUUGGUAAGUCAGUGGUGAAAUCCCCGAGCUUAACUUGGGAACUGCCAUUGAUACUAUCAGUCUUGAAUACCGUGGAGGUCGGCGGAAUAUGUCAUGUAGCGGUGAAAUGCUUAGAUAUGACAUAGAACACCAAUUGCGAAGGCAGCUGGCUACGCGGAUAUUGACACUGAGGCAC
rnacentral:rRNA from 1 species